rnacentral:rRNA from 1 species
UGAGCAAUCUGCCCUUCUCUUCGGAAUAAGCGUUGGAAACGACGUCUAAUGCCGAAUACGACCUCCUUUCGCAUGGUCCGGCCGGGAAAGGUCCGCCGGAGAGGGAUGGGCCCGCGGCCUAUCAGCUUGUUGGUGGGGUCAUGGCUCACCAAGGCGGCGACGGGUAGCUGGUCUGAGAGGACGACCAGCCACACUGGAACUGAGAUACGGUCCAGACUCCGUACGGGAGGCAG